rnacentral:lncRNA from 1 species
GGAAACUUGACAUUUAUCCUUCCUCGUGGGCCAAGCGUGAACCACGCUGUGGUUCACGGGCUUUUGGUUAGGAAAAAUCGUAGGAUGGGUCUCGAGUCGUGUUUUAGGUCCCUUUGGGCCGUCUUCCGACUUGACACGUUUACUACGAGUUUUCCGCGGUUUCUAAUCCGCGAAGUUUGAUCAAUGAAUUAGAAUAGCAGGA